UGGGGAAUAUUGCGCAAUGGGCGAAAGCCUGACGCAGCGACGCCGCGUGGGGGAUGAAGGUCUUCGGAUUGUAAACCCCUUUCGGGAGGGACGAAGCUCUGACGGUACCUCCAAAGGAAGUGGCGGCUAACUCUGUGCCAGCAGCCGCGGUAAGACAGAGGCCACGAACGUUGUUCGGAAUCACUGGGCAUAAAGCGCACGUAGGCGGCUAGGUCCGUCCGAUGUGAAAGCCCCCGGCUCAACCGGGGAAUUGCAUCGGAUACAGCCUGGCUUGAGGACGGUUGGGGUGAGUGGAACUCCUGGUGGAGCGGUGAAAUGCGUAGAUAUCAGGAGGAACACCCGUGGCGAAGGCGGAUCUCUGGACCGGUUCUGACGCUGAGGAGCGAAAGCUAGGGGAGCAAACAGGAUUAGAUACCCGCGUAGUCCCUGAGCGGGCUGGCAAGGCGCAU
rnacentral:rRNA from 1 species